UCUGCAGGUCUGGCAGCUCCAGUGCAGAAUGGAGAAGCCUCUCUCAGGAGUUUAGAGACUGAAGAAGGAGCUGGACACUGGAGAUGUUGGCAAGGCCUGGUUUGAGAAAACAAGAUCUUCUUUCCCCUUGUCUCCUGUAAGCUCUUUGUUUCUUCCUGCAUCCUGACAUUUGUGAAGAAGAGGCUAGAGAAUGCUGCCCUCACUACCUGAGCUCUCAGCCUGAUGGGUC
rnacentral:lncRNA from 1 species